ACCUGGAUACUGUUUUGAAGGCGUAAAAGAGCCACGUGACACACAAACAAGCAAACCAAAUGUCACAUGACGUUUCCUGAGCUGGGGCGUUGAGAACGGUUGACAGGUGAGAGCAACCAGGAAGUAAACAACCAUGCCGUUUGACCCAGCGCGGUUACAGUCAGGCACAAAACAUUUGCAUUGAACAGUUACAAGUUUCCCCGACUAUUUGGGGCUUGGGAUAAGUCGCAAGGAUGUCAGCACAACAGGCCGGGUUAAGGCGAAUUCACCCGGGGGUUAUUGCAUCGGUGAUCUUCGUCUCUGUGGCGGCAAUAGUCGCUGCUCUAUUGAUCAUCCGAAAAUACUGCUUGCCAGUCAAUGAGGCGAGAUACAGAUACUCCCAGCUGAGGCAAAUGGAGGAUCAGGGUUCAGCAGUGACAGAGGGCGAAGGUGACAUGGAGCCCGGCACAGUGGGAGAGGAGUCAGACGAGGAUCUUCUGGACUAG
rnacentral:lncRNA from 1 species